UACAGAGGGUGCGAGCGUUAAUCGGAAUUACUGGGCGUAAAGCGUGCGUAGACGGUUAUUUAAGUCGGAUGUGAAAGCCCCGGGCUCAACCUGGGAAUUGCAUUCGAGACUGAAUAGCUAGGGUGCGGUAGAGGGAAGCGGAAUUUCCGGUGUAGCGGUGAAAUGCGUAGAUAUCGGAAGGAACAUCAGUGGCGAAAGCGGCUUCCUGGACCGGUAUUGACACUGAGGCGCGAAAGCCAGGGGAGCAAACGGG
rnacentral:rRNA from 1 species